GAGUCUCAAGCAGGUAGCUCCGUUCCUCACUCCAUCUUGAGAGCACGACAGUGGACACCGACCUCCUUCAGAACAUAGUCCUUCUCUGCUCAGGCCCCUACCUUGACACACACAUGAGAGAGGAGUAAAGUUUCGGGGACCCGGAGCCCAAAGGUAGUUCCACAGUGACAAGGUGCCCAGCUCGCGGGAUUAGUCAUCCACCUUUCUGAUAAGAAAAGUGAAAACACGAAGUUGAAAACUGCAGACCCCCAGCAACUUCCUGAAUCCAGCUCUCCGCGUCCUGCCCUAAGGAACGGGCGCCUCCCAAAAAGGAAUCGUUAGUGGAAGUCCCACGUUUCGCUGGCGUUGGAAGGGGAAGUGCUUCGGUUUCAGGAUCUCACCUCACUGCCGGAACCUCCUUAAUUAUCAGAUGCAGCCCCGAAUCCUCCAACACGCUUCAGCCAACAGACUUGUCCUUCAGUAAUCACAGUAGCCUGUCGUCCAGCUGAAAGAUCUCCGUUCCUUUAUAAAUGAAGCAUCUUUUGGAAAAUACGUGGAGUUUAUUUUGUGAAGAUCUUCAUUGUGAUGAAGCUCGACUCAAGGUGACAGUGUUUUCAAAGGAAGCCACAAACCAAGAAGUCACACACAGACCCUUGUGAUGACAUUGGACCCACCUGUGUAACCCAAGAUAAUUUCUCCAUCUCUAAGUCAGCUGAUCGGCAAGGUUAAUUCCAUCUUCAACAGUGAUUCCCCUUUGCCAGGGCUUCUCUCCGGACCAUGCUUCUCCUCCCAAGACUCCAGCAGGGGUCUGAAAGCAAACGCUGAAAGGUGGAAACCCUGGCUCAUCUGGAUCCGCCCUCUCAAGGGCCUUUGGGGCCUUGCUGGGGACCCGCAACUGGGAGCCCAUCAGGGAUGCCAGCCACCUCCCUGGCCGAGGAAGCUAAAGGCUGGAGCGAGGCCCGGGCUUCCUCCCCGAGUCUGCUGUCGGCAGCAGGGCCGGGACGUCAGUGGUUUCAAAGGUCCUCAGGUCAUUUGAAUGUGUGGCCAUGGCUGAGAAUUGCUUUUCAAGUUCUCUUUAAAAUUUCCAGAUCCUUCUGAGGGUGGGUGUAGGAAUGAGUCCAAUUUUGGGUUUCAGCUGUAUUUUUUUUCCAUGUGUUCCAAAUUUAUUUUUUCAAUAAACAAUU
rnacentral:lncRNA from 1 species